UUCGUGGGGGUAAAUAUAAAGAAAAAAUUGGCAUAUGUUUUCUGGGAAAUAGGUUAAGAUUGAUUUUCAUUCAGCAAAUACUUAUCAAGCUUCUUCUAUGAUAUCAAGAACUAUGCUAUGCACUGGGGAAUAAAAAUUGAAAAAGACGGCGCUUGUGUGCAAGUAGUGCAGUCUAGUGGCGUGGCGGGGAUACACAAGUUGUAUAUCUAUGCUGAUUUUUUAAACUCUUACAAACUUUUUUUAUUUUGAGGAAGAUUAGCCCUGAGCUAACAUCUGCCGCCAAUCCUCCUCUUUUUGCUGAGGAAGAUUGGCCCUCAGCUAACAUCCGUGCCCAUUUUCCUCUAUUGUAUGUGGGAUGCCUCCCACAGCAUGGCUUGAAUCAGCUUAUCAAGUGGACAAUACACCAAAACAUCUCUCCAUUUAUCCACGUCUUCUUUUAUGACCCUCAGCAAAGUUUUGUAACUUCUUUGAAGGGCCUGACUGUGGCUGUUGAGCAUGCAUUGUAUAUCUGCUUUAGAGAUUCCCUAUGGCAAGAGCAAAGGCCCUUGAGAUAAAGGUGCAACUUCCCUCCCCCUCCCAACGUUGGCAUUUCUUUAAGGAUUAAGCAUCUUUCCUUAG
rnacentral:lncRNA from 1 species